rnacentral:tRNA from 1 species
UAAGGGGACUGAGGUUUAAAGCUCAGAUGCAGGAAUUAGCAGUUCUUGCUGGCUUGGGCCUCCCCUC